ACUCAGCGGAAUCCCCCUACCACAUCCAUGGCUGAUUAUCCAGUGAUAUGACAGGGUAAGACUCUUCCCGCAGAAAGAGCUGUAUUGAUUUGCAUCUUUCUCAAAUCAAAAAUCUCCCUAUCUAAAUUAAUGCUUUUGGCUCCAUGAGAGACGGUAGAUCCGGCGGCAAGGAUGGCACAUUAAUCCCGCCUUUCUGGAAGACAUUCUCUGUAGAGACAUGCCUCGAAAGUUUAAAGGUACCUCCUGAGUGGGUGCACCGGCAUGGUCGGAACUGUUGGGGAAAACGCAGCGGAAAUUGCAAAAACAAAUAAAUCCACAAAAGAAUCUAUUUAGGUGAUUAUGUGGAUCGAUUCAAUUUCAUGCUUGAACAUGUAGAGACAUAUAAUUGCGCAAUUAAUCACAUAAUUUAAGUUAAAUUA